rfam:Pteropus alecto contig97768, whole genome shotgun sequence.
CUCUACGGCCAUGCCACCUUGAACAAGCCCAAUCCCAUCUGAUCUCAGAAGCUAAGAAGGGUCGGGCCUGGUUAGUACUUGGAUGAGAGACCACCUAGGAAGACCAGGUGCUGUAGGCA